rnacentral:rRNA from 1 species
CACCGCGGUUAUACGAGAGGCCCAAGUUGAUAGCCACCGGCGUAAAGCGUGGUUAAGUUAAAACUAAAACUAAAGCCGAACAUCUUCAAGGCUGUUAUACGCACCCGAAGACAAGAAGUUCAUCCACGAAAGUGGCUUUAUUUAAUCUGACCCCACGAAAGCUAUGGUA